UAGAAAGCUCUCAGUACAGCAUAGAUAUUAUUAUUAUUCCUCUGCUAGACUACAAAAUCUCUGAGGGCAGGGACCUCUUCUUGGAUAUCUUUGAACCCCUCCAUAACAGUGGGCAAAGUGUCUGUCAGAGGGUUUUAAUGAAUGCAUCACACAAAAGAGACCGUACUGAACAAGAGAGACAGGAAGCUUGGAUAAUUAUUUGAAUAUCUACAGUCAUCAGAAGGCUUAUAAAUGUAAAGCCAAAGCUCCUGCCAAAGAAAUGUGUGGAGCAGAAAAGAAAACCCAGAGCAGAAUGUCAAGAGCAAGGAUGUGUUGGGACAGGAAAUGAAGACGAGAUUGGGAGAGGUCAUGCAGAAUCAGGUCACAUUCUGGAGGGAAGAAGGAGCAAAGGCACAUGAUGAGAGAGUGCUAAUUAAGGUGGCCAAAGAGAACAGUGUGGUGCUGUAAAUGCCGGCAGAGCAAGGAGCCCUGCUGCCAGCCUGACCCAACACAGUCACGUUGAUGAAAAUGGAAAAGGAUGGCUGGAGGUAAUGAUAAUGUAUUACAGAUUGCAAAAUCGCUAGAAGAGAGGGUUUUGAAUGUUCUCAUCCCAAAGAAAUAAUAAAUGUUUAAGGUGCUGGAUGUGUUAAUUACCUUGAUUCGAUCAUUACACAAUGUACACUUGUACUGAAACAUCACAUUGUACCCCAUAAGUAUGUGCAAUCAUGUCAAUCAUAAAUUUAAAAAUUAAAUUUUUUAAAAAAGGAAAAACAAUCUUUCCACCACACAAAUCAUUUUCUGAGCCUGCACAUUGGCAUUCAUCUUUCCUCCUACGCUUGUGGCCUUAAAGAGGAGGAGUAUGAUUGGCAGCGUGGCAGCCUCUCGAUAUUUACGGACCCUAGCGCUCACUCCUGGCUUCAAUGGUGUUUUCAGCUGGAGCCUCUUCCUGCCAUUCCUUUCCUCUCUGCAUGGCUGCUGAUGCUCAUCCGGGAGCAGGAAAUGAGUGCAUUCUUGGGCUUUUCUGCAAUUAGUCUUCUAAAGAGAAAAACAAAACCAAACAAGAAAGAAAACUGAAGGUUUAGGGAUAUUCUAAAAACUUUUACAGGCUGGCCAUUGAUGGAGGCCAGUAAAGAACGGUGGAGGCUGGCGACUCAGCCCCUCUGGAUUGGGGGUUUGUGGGAAUUUAUCUCGGGCUCUCUUAUGUUUAUUCUACACUUCCAAAUAACUUUGAAGGUUUAUUUGGAGAUUCCAAUAUGGGAGAGGAGGCCCUUGCAAACUCUUGAGUGUGCAGCGCCCCAUUUUUUGGGGGGAGAAAAUGGCUUUGGGAGAGCAUGCAGAGGGGAUAGGGCACUCAAAUCUCCACCCCAUAGAUCACUGUGUCGCCUCUCAGGUAGGGGUGUGCUGAAUAAAUUAAAGGUAUUAUUGUAAGUUGGAAGUGUGCUAGAGCCAGGUUGCAGAGGCACACUCUCAAAUCCGCCUUCAGUGAAACCACAGAAAUAUCCAAAUACUACACAUGGGGGCUUUUUUUCCCCUUCCCUGAGAAUCAGCUGGUAAUUUACUGGCAUGUCACUGCAUAUAAACAAAAUCCAAGAGGAAUCAGUUAACCUGCUGGACUGAACAAGGAGUUUGGCAUAAAACUGGCCAGAUAAACAGAUAAGGCUGAUUGUGUUAUGUCUCCCUUCCUUAAUGGAAGCCUGAUAGGAAUGAGGCCCACGGUGACUCAGCAGUUAGUUCCCUUUACUGCGUAGCCUUGGAAGUAAUGGAGUGGGCUUUCAUGAUUUUGCUUCUUUCUUCUUUUCCACUGAAAUGGAGGCCUUCAGUUGCAAAGUUCUCCAUUGUCAGAUUACGCUGCCUGAUGGGCAUGAAAAGUCCACAAAAGAGAAUUUUCUGAUGUGAGAAUGGAGGGUGUUGCCUGCAACUACCCCAGAUCCCUGCGGUGGCAGUUUAAGCCGCCUCCUGGAGCAGAUUGUUAAGCUGAUGCGAGUCUGGGCUCUGCCUCACCACUUGUCUCAGAGACAGAGUCUUGCUCUGUCACCUAGGCUGGAGUGCAGUGGUGCCAUCACAGCUCACUGCAGCCUCGACCUCCCCGUGCUCAAGUGAUCCUCACACCUCAGCCUCCCGAGUAGCCGCGAUCACAAGUUAAACAAACACAGUUCUUUACAUCAAUGCUUCCGUCCCUGGCCAUCUGGUCUCCUGUCCCCUCCAGACCCAAAACCAUGGGCUGGGCUGCAGCAAAAUGAGGGUGUACUCAGUGCACUGAGGCCCAUGUACCAUGAGAGAUGGAGAAAGCCUUGGCCGGAGUUUAAGGAUUUGGGGCUGGGCACAGUGGCUCGUGCCUGUAAUCCUAGCACUUUGGGAGGCCAAGGCAGGAGGAUCACUUGAGGCCAAGAGUUUGAGACCAGCCUGAGCAACAUAGUGAGACUCUCAUUUCUAAAAAUAAAAAAGUUAGGCCUGGCACAGUGGCUCAUGCCUAUAAUCCCAGCAGUUUGGGAAGCUGAAUCAAGAGGAUCACUUGAGGCCAGGAGUUUGAGCCCAGCCUGGUCAACAUAGUGAGACUUUAUCACUACAAAAAGUUUUUAUUUAUUUAUUUUUUUUGAGACAGGGUCUCGAUUCAUCACUUAGGCUGGAGUGGAGUGUGCAAUCACAGCUCACAGCUCACAGCAGCCUCGACCUCCUGGGUUCAAGCCAUCCUCCCACCUCAGCCUCCUGAGUAGCUGGGACUACAGGCAUACACCACCAUGUCUGGCUAAAUUUUUGUACUUUUUGUAGAGACAGGGUUUCGCCAUGUUGCCCAGGCUGGUCUCUAGCUCCUGGGCUCAAGCAAUCUGCCUGCCUCAGCCUCCCAGAGGCCUGGAACUACAGGCGUGAGCCGCUG
rnacentral:lncRNA from 1 species